rnacentral:rRNA from 1 species
UGAGGAACAUGACCUUCGGCGGGGGAUAGCCGGCCCAACGGCCGGGUAAUACCGCGUACGACCACAUGGGGACAUCCCUGAGUGGUGAAAGCAGCAAUGCGCCGAUGGAGUGCCUCGCGGCCUAUCAGCUAGUUGGUGAGGUAACGGCUCACCAAGGCGACGACGGGUAGCUGGUCUGAGGAGGAUGGCCCCGCCACAUUGGGACUGAGACACCGGCCCAGACUCCCGUAGGGAGG